rnacentral:lncRNA from 1 species
UACAGAGGCUGGUAGGGAUGUGAGAACGGCAAUACUUAAGGAAAUCCCCACUGCCAACAUCAAUGUUAUGGAACUAGAUCUCAGCUCAAUGGCAUCAGUAAGAAAAUUUGCAUCGGAAUAUAACUCCUCUGGUCUUCCAUUGAAUAUCCUGAUGUAAGACAUCUGAAUUGGACCGUUGUAAUUAUUUAUGUCACAUUUGCUUGUGCUCAUUUGAAUCUCUCAUCUCUUGUUGCAAAUGCAUCAGUGGUUACAUGUUCUUGCAUGUGUUCGUGUGUGUUUGCAUGCACACUUAGUGUUGUAUGAUAUCAUUGUGACAAUGGUUGUUAUUGCUGCUUCAUUCUUCAUUUUGGAAUGGUGUUUGGUCCCAAGAGUGGGAAAAGAAAGAAGGAAAAACAAUAAGUUCAUAUUUUAGUACAAUGUUCUCCUAUUGGUAUUGUUAUUAACUUACGGAGUUAUAAUUUAUCCUCUCUGUUUGUUUGAAGUAAUAAUGCAGGGGUUAUGGCAACUCCUUUCAUGCUUUCCCAAGACAACAUUGAACUGCAGUUUGCAACCAACCAUUUGGGUAUUUAAAACAUGAAAUUUUUUUGAUGUUUCUUUUGAGAAUAUGAAAUGGCCUGUUAUAUGGUCUUCAUAGAAUUGGAAUCUUAGAGUUCUUACCAUUCUUUUACAGGCCAUUUUCUUUUGACCAACCUUCUAUUGGAGACCAUGAAGAAGACAACAAGGGAGAGCAAAAAAGAGGGAAGAAUCGUGAACUUAUCAUCAGAGGCUCACCGAUUUGCAUAUAGUGAGGGGAUUCGUUUUGAUAAGAUUAAUGAUGAAUCAGGGUAAUAGUUUGACAG